GAACGAGAAAGUGGAGCAAUCCAUGAGUACAGUGGCGUACGGGUGAGUAACACGUGACUAACCUACCCUCGAGUGGGGAAUAACUUCGGGAAACCGAGGCUAAUACCGCAUAACAUCUACGGAUCAAAUGCGAAAGCAGCUUGAGGAGGGGGUCGCGGCUGAUUAGCUAGUUGGCGGGGUAAUGGCCCACCAAGGCAGUGAUCAGUAGCCGGCCUGAGAGGGCGCACGGCCACACUGGAACUGAAACACGGUCCAGACUCCUACGGGAGGCAGCAGUGGGGAAUUUUGCGCAAUGGGGGAAACCCUGACGCAGCAACGCCGCGUGGAGGAUGAAGCCCCUUGGGGUGUAAACUCCUUUCGAUCGGGACGAUUAUGACGGUACCGGAUGAAGAAGCACCGGCUAACUCUGUG
rnacentral:rRNA from 1 species